AAAAAGGUAAGCUAAAUUAAGCUAAUGGGUUCAUACCUCAUUUAUAAAGGUUGAUCCUUUCCUCUUUA
rnacentral:tRNA from 1 species